AAAUGAAAAAAAAGGCAGUUUAGCUGGUUCAAUUCAUUUACAGUUUUAAGUUAAAGAUGGGUUUGACUGGUUUUGAUUCUGACUUGAUUUAAACCAGUCUAAUUCCGAAUCGGCCCUUGGCCUGGUCUAGUCAUGAAACAGCGUAAGCGUAGUGGCUCUUCGACGUAAUGAUGAGCAUCCAGACGAUGUAAGAUGGUGGCCUGUGAAGAAGGCACAACUCUCUUAUGUGAUAACCGCAUCCUAGCACAAAGAAAACUGCUCAAGUGCUAUUCGUGGUGCAACA
rnacentral:misc_RNA from 1 species